GUGUAUAGUUGACUCAAAGGGAAAGAGCAAGAGGGAGAGAGAGGGAGCUAUCUAUAUUUCCUAUUUUUUUUACAUUCACUUUCACUUACUUAGCUAUUGAAUGCAGAUACCGUUAGAUGGUUAAACCUAAUCAAACACUCAGGUCAAACAAAGAGGGAUACUAUGUUAGCUAGCUGGCUAUGGCUGGCUAUGGCUAUCCAACACUGGAACUCUUCCAAGUCAAGAGUGGAAAGGCAAAGACAUCAUGGAGGACGAGGACGCUUGUUUACAGAUGAAGAAGAGACUGCAAUUAUAAAUAUGGUUUUGGCCAACAAGGCAAAUUAGGAUUCGAGAGAUAAGAGAGCAUAUCUUGAAGAAUGACACCAUAUUUAACAACAUCAAUGCUGUAAGCCUGUCGACCAUACAACGCAUCCUCCAACGGCACCGAGUGACGAUGAAACAACUUUACAAGGUGCCAUUUGAGAGACACUCUGACAGAGUCAAGAAUAUGCGACAUGACUUUGCAGAGGUAUGUAUGCAACACUACUUCCAGUACUUCAGACAUACCAUAUUUACUCAUCUGUAUAUCCUUUUGUCUGUUACAGAGAGUAUUGGAGCUGGAUGCCCAUGUAAUUCACCAUUAAUUUAUUUAUGUGGAUGAGGUUGGCUUCAACCAGACGCCGCGGAAGAAAUGUAAUAGGACAGAGGGCAUUUACCAAUGUCCCCAGACAGCGUGGGGGUAAUAUAACUAUGUGUGCUGCCAUCACUCAAAAUGGGGUCCUCCAUCACAAUGCCACACUGGGUCCGUACAACACCGGCCAUAUGCUCACUUUUCUGGAUGCAAUUUACACAAUGCUUGUCCCUGAUCCAGAUCAGGAGCCUGCUAGAUUAGUGGUUUUAUGGGACAAUGUUAGUUUUCACCGGGCUGUUCUGGUCCAAAACUGCUUUGCCACCCAUCCACAAUUUGUAGUGUUGUACCUACCCCCAUAUUCACCUUUUCUAAAUCCCAUAGAGGAAUUCUUCCCGUCACGGCGCUGGAAAGUGUAUGAUCGCCAACCCUAUGCCCGCAUGCCGCUUUUCCAGGCAAUGGAGGACGCAUGUGGGGACAUAGAGGGUGCCUCUGUCCAAGGUUGAAUACGCCACGCUAGGAGAUACUUCCCUCGAUGUUUGGCAAGAGAAAACGUAUCUUGUGAUGUGGAUGAAGUAUUGUGGCCAGACCCAGGCCGGAGAAGAGAUGAAGGGUAGCUUAGCACUGGUGACUGCCCCCCCCUACCAAUUCCUGGACUGUCCCCCCGGGACCCCACACACACAAUUGUGUUCUUUACUGUAUUCUAAAGAAUAUACUUUUGGUUUGCAUAUGUUUAUGGUUUUGUUGUAUGCUACUGUAUACAACAGUAGUGUUUGGCCGAAUAAAUAUUUUCUGUUUCUA